AGUGUGAGAAUAGGAUUAUCAUUUGGGGCAUGGAGGUGUUUCCCAUUUUGGGGGACUUACACUA
rnacentral:tRNA from 1 species